rnacentral:rRNA from 1 species
CGGGAAUUUUGGGCAAUGGGCGAAAGCCUGACCCAGCAACGCCGCGUGAGGGAUGAAGUAUUUCGGUAUGUAAACCUCGAAAGAAUGGGAAGAAUAAAUGACGGUACCAUUUAUAAGCUCCGGCUAACUACGUGCCAGCAGCCGCGGUAAUACGUAGGGAGCAAGCGUUGUUCGGAUUUACUGGGCGUAAAGGGCGCGUAGGCGGCGCGGUAAGUCACUUGUGAAAUCUCUGAGCUUAACUCAGAACGGCCAAGUGAUACUGCUGUGCUAGAGUGCGGAAGANGCAACCGGAAUUCUUGGUGUAGCGGUGAAAUGCGUAGAUAUCAAGAGGAACACCUGAGGCGAAGGCGGGUUGCUGGGCCGACACUGACGCUGAUGCGCGAAAGCCAGGGGAGCAAAC